UCCCUUUCCCUCUUUUUUAUUUAUUAAAUUCCACACAUCAAUGAAAUCCUACGAUAGUUGUCUUUCUUUGACUGACUUAUUUCACUUAACAUAGUA